rnacentral:rRNA from 1 species
CCUACUGGUGACUGCAGUGGGGAAUAUUGGACAAUGGGGGAAACCCUUAUCCAGCGACGCCGCGUGAGGGAAGCAGUUUUUCGGAUUGUAAACCUCUGUCAGUGGGGACGAUACUGACGGUACCCACGGAAGAAGCCACGGCUCACUACGUGCCAGCAGCCGCGGUAAUACGUAGGUGGCAAGCGUUGUCCGGAAUUACUGGGUGUAACGGGAGCGUAGGCGGGAUGUCAAGUCAGAAGUGAAAAUUCUGGGCUCAACUCAUAACCUGCUUUUGAACCUGAUAUUCUGGAGUGAAGUAGAGGUAAGCUGAAUUCCUAGUGUAGCGGUGAAAUGCGUAGAUAUUAGGAGGAACACCAGCGGCGAAGGCGGCUUGCUGGGCUUUUACUGACGCUGAGGCUCGAAAGCGUGGGGAGCAAACAGGAUUAGAUACCCGUGUAGUC